rnacentral:lncRNA from 1 species
CAGUCAUGCUUCUAGUGGUUCAAUUUGCUAAUGCAAGGGUUGAUUUUAUGUGAAGCCAUGCUGAAUGUACUGCAGUGCCAUGCUGGGUAUCUUAAAGAACAAGGCAUUGUCCUCUGCAGACACCCAGGCUGCAGACUUCAAGGACUGGAAGAAGAGCUUUGCGUCUUCUCUCUUCUCUAUACAGACACAAUCUGUAGCAGCAAAUGUGUUACAGAUGGACAGAAGCUGGG